CAGUCGCCGCGGGAAUACGAAGGGGGCUAGCGUUGCUCGGAAUGACUGGGCGUAAAGGGCGCGUAGGCGGCGAUCAAAGUCAGGCGUGAAAUUCCUGGGCUCAACCUGGGGGCUGCGUUUGAUACUUGGUUGCUAGAGUGAGGAAGAGGGUCGUGGAAUUCCCAGUGUAGAGGUGAAAUUCGUAGAUAUUGGGAAGAACACCGGUGGCGAAGGCGGCGACCUGGUCCUUGACUGACGCUGAGGCGCGAAAGCGUGGGGAGCAAACAGGAUUAGAUACCCCCGUAGUCCCUGUCUCUUAUAC
rnacentral:rRNA from 1 species